rnacentral:tRNA from 1 species
UGGGGCGUGGCCAAGUGGUUAAGGCAGUGGGUUUUGAUCCCGCGACCGCAGGUUCGACUCCUGCCGCCCCAGCCA